CUUGGUCAUUUAGAGGAAGUAAAAGUCGUAACAAAGUUCCGUAGGUGAACCUGCGGAAGGAUCAUUACUAGAGCAAAGGAUAGACAGCGCCCGCGGAGCUUGCUCCCUGGGGCUACCCUACUUCGGUAGGGUUUAGAGUCGUCGGGCCUCUCGAAGAAGCUCGGUCCUGAACUCCACCCUUGAAUAAAUUACCUUUGUUGCUUUGGCGGGCCGCCUCGUGCCAGCGGCUUCGGCUGUUGCGUGCCCGCCAGAGGACCACAACUCUUGUUUUUAGUGAUGUCUGAGUACUAUAUAAUAGUUAAAACUUUCAACAACGGAUCUCUUGGUUCUGGCAUCGAUGAAGAACGCAGCGAAAUGCGAUAAGUAAUGUGAAUUGCAGAAUUCAGUGAAUCAUCGAAUCUUUGAACGCACAUUGCGCCCUCUGGUAUUCCGGGGGGCAUGCCUGUUCGAGCGUCAUUAUAACCACUCAAGCUCUCGCUUGGUAUUGGGGUUCGCGGUCUCGCGGCCCCUAAAAUCAGUGGCGGUGCCUGUCGGCUCUAUGCGUAGUAAUACUCCUCGCGAUUGAGUCCGAUAGGUUUACUUGCCAGCAACCCCUAAUUUUUACAGGUUGACCUCGGAUCAGGUACGGAUACCCGCUGAACUUAAGCAUAUCAAUAAGCGGAGGA
rnacentral:rRNA from 1 species